rnacentral:rRNA from 1 species
CUUAGAAGCAGCCAUCAUUUAAAGAAAGCGUAAUAGCUCACUGGUCGAGUCGGCCUGCGCGGAAGAUGUAACGGGGCUAAACCAUGCACCGAAGCUGCGGCAGCGACGCUUAUGCGUUGUUGGGUAGGGGAGCGUUCUGUAAGCCUGUGAAGGUGUGCUGUGAGGCAUGCUGGAGGUAUCAGAAGUGCGAAUGCUGACAUAAGUAACGAUAAAGCGGGUGAAAAGCCCGCUCGCCGGAAGACCAAGGGUUCCUGUCCAACGUUAAUCGGGGCAGGGUGAGUCGACCCCUAAGGCGAGGCCGAAAGGCGUAGUCGAUGGGAAACAGGUUAAUAUUCCUGUACUUGGUGUUACUGCGAAGGGGGGACGGAGAAGGCUAUGUUGGCCGGGCGACGGUUGUCCCGGUUUAAGCGUGUAGGCUGGUUUUCCAGGCAAAUCCGGAAAAUCAAGGCUGAGGCGUGAUGACGAGGCACUACGGUGCUGAAGCAACAAAUGCCCUGCUUCCAGGAAAAGCCUCUAAGCAUCAGGUAACAUCAAAUCGUACCCCAAACCGACACAGGUGGUCAGGUAGAGAAUACCAAGGCGCUUGAGAGAACUCGGGUGAAGGAACUAGGCAAAAUGGUGCCGUAACUUCGGGAGAAGG